rnacentral:rRNA from 1 species
AAUGAACGCUGGCGGCGUGGAUAAGACAUGCAAGUCGAACGGAGUUAGCAAUAAGCUUGCUUAAGGCAAACUCAGUGGCGAACGGGUGAGUAACACGUGAAUAAUCUGCCUUGAAGUGGGGGAUAGCCCUGGGAAACUAGGAUUAAUACCGCAUGUGGUCGAGAGACUAAAGCAGCAAUGCGCUUUAAGAUGAGUUCGCGUCCUAUUAGCUAGUUGGUGAGGUAACUGCUCACCAAGGCCUUGAUAGGUAGCCGGUCUGAGAGGAUGUCCGGCCAGACUGGAACUGAGACACGGUCAUGACACCUACGGGUGGCAGCAGUCGAGAAUCAGUCACAAUGGGGGCAACCCUGAUGGUGCGACGCCGCGUGGGGGAAGAAUGUCUUCGGAUUGUAAACCCCUGUCAUGUGGGAGUAAGCUAGUGAUAGUUGAUAGUACCACAAGAGGAAGAGACGGCAAACUCUGUGCCAGCCGCCGCGGUAAAAC